AACAUAGUGAAAUCGUUACAGGACAUGACUCUUUAUGUCAUCACCAUAUUUCAUAUUAAAUGAAAAAUCUUAUUGUUCUAUCUCAUUACAACCAAAUGUGUUGUCUUUCUCGUUAAAGUGUUUCAUCCAUUCUUAUAAGAACCCAUCUAGCAUAUGGUUCUAUCUCAGAGGAGUGACACUGAGAACACAAGAUUGAUUAAUCAUAUAAUGUAUUUGGUUGUUACUAGUUGAUUUUGUGUUCUCAGGUCACCCCUUUGAGUCAACCUUGUUAACUGUGAUUUUAAUUUUUGAUUGUAAUUGCAUUGUGAUUAUGAAAUUUUUUAUAGUAACACCUUUUCCUUUCCCACUGUAUAAGUUUUUAGAUUUCAGAAAAUAUUGCAGGUUGUUUGAAGGCAAAUGUGAAAGGUAUAAAAAUAGCAAUGAUGUUACUCCUAUACUUUAUUUUUUUUACACUAAGAUACUCCCUACUUUCCUUUGAUUGGAAAUAAAGAGAGACAAAAAGGUAAAUUUAAUUUCUCUUCUUAUGUCAAUCAAAGGGAGGUGUGGAGUAGAGGUGUAAAAAGUAAAGUAUAAGAAUAAUGUCAUUGUAAAGUUACAUGUGGAAGAGGCCAUUAGCACAAUUUUAACAGCCCAAUAGCACCAUGAUAUUUUUUGACUGUUCAAUCCAAGACUUAUUGAAGCGUGAUUGAAAUGCGAAGUUGAUUCACAACUUAAGAGAAGGAGAAUCGAGCAAUGCUAUGAAGGAUGUUGAUUACCUCCGAACAAAUGUACGACACAAAGUUGGGAUGGGAGGAUAAAAUACUUCAAGAUGGAAAGAUGAUAUCUCCAAACUCAUUGUAAGGAAUACUAGAAAGAGAGAUGACAUCCACAACGGGCUUGCAAUCCAAUUUGAACACAUCAAUUUGCAUAUUUCUUGCAAUCGCCACUUUGAUAGCUUUUAGAAGACAAACAUCUUUUUCUUCUAUGAAGGGGCACUGCUCCAUGGAGUCUCUAAAACACACAUCAUACUCCAGUAAUUGAAUUGCUUUUGAAAGAGGCACAAUCAACGUUACACUUAAUAAUGCCAAUUUUAAUUUAUGUUUAUGUAAAGGGACAUCUACUUUUAAUUCUUUUUUUUAAAUCUUCUACACAUGUAUCAGUACCAUACUCAUUGACAAGUGUAAUUUUAUGUGUGGUUCUUUUUUCUUCUUUCUGUUACUUGUGGUUAUUGGAAGGCAUGUACUAGUGAAACCCCUUGUAAGAAAAAAAAUUCAAGUUAAUGGCAAUGAUAGGAUUUUUAAGUGUGGCACAAAGAAAA